CUUAAAUGGAAGUCUAUACAAAGCACAGCAAGCCUGUAGGAGAAGGACGUGAGCCGGAUGGGGUGGGGGUGAGCACUGAGGAUUAUGGAUUCACAGAGAGAGCAUCUGAGCCGAGACCUGCGGGAGGAGAAGGAAUUUGCCAGCUCUGGGUGUUCAGGUAGCAGCUGUGGCUGGGAGUGUCUCUCCAGCCCACAUUCCUUGGCCAUGAAUUUUGCAGCCCUGUUUAUCUGAUGAAGACCUCCCAGUAGUGAAUUGCUCAUGACAUUGUCACACAGACCUUAAUGAAUGAUAUGGAAAGAUACUGAAUAUUUUUCCUCCCAGAAUGCCAACCAAUCUUCAGUGUCCCAGCCCCUUCACUCCAGCUGAUCAUGGCAAAGGCUUGGUACUGAGAUCUUUUGUCUUACAAAAGAGAAUGUGGUUUUGUCUUACAAAAACCACAUUCUCACUGGAUGCCUACAAGUCCUCUCUAUGGGACUGCUACCCAAGCCUGUUUAGAGAAUUUUCAACAAUUACAUCUGCCCAUUUGCUGAGUC
rnacentral:lncRNA from 1 species